rnacentral:rRNA from 1 species
UACGCGGGGGGCAAGCGUUGUUCGGAAUUACUGGGCGUAAAGCGCACGUAGGCGGCUUUGUAAGUUAGAGGUGAAAGCCCAGGGCUCAACCCUGGAAUUGCCUUUAAGACUGCAUCGCUUGAACAUCGGAGAGGUAAGUGGAAUUCCGAGUGUAGAGGUGAAAUUCGUAGAUAUUCGGAAGAACACCAGUGGCGAAGGCGACUUACUGGACGAUUGUUGACGCUGAGGUGCGAAAGCGUGGGGAGCAAACAGG